UUGCCGGCGAUCAUUGGAGAUUAGCCCGGAUCAGACGUUUCGUGGUUGAGGCGUCGUUGCAGACUGAAUACUCGUGAUUUGAAGUGCGCUUGCGCGACAAUGAGGGGCUACACAGAGCGACGAGGAGGAGAAAGAGAUUGCAAGGGAUUGCACGUUAGUCCGGGCAGGCGCAAGAAUCACGAGCGGACAGUCGCGAGACCGCGGACUACCACCACCGUUUCGUCUCUUUUCUCAUCUACUCUGGCCCGUCUCCCGUACCACGUUGAUGUGUACUUCGCGUUGCAACGACGAAGAUAGGGAUGCUUUCCCCACCUCGAGAGUCGUCCGGGCUUCUCCACCACCACCAUCACCACCACCAGCAGUACCGCCACAACCAGCAGCAUCAGCUCCAUCGCCAUCUCCUCCACCGUGACUACCACCACCACGCAUCGCUUGUCGUUGGCAGCGAAUAGAGAGCGGAUUCUUUCCUCCUCCCGGGACUUAUUGAUCGGCCGCGCGAUAAGAAGACACGAACGGCCGAUUGGUCCCUUUUCCGGACAUCUCGCAGGGUGCGCGUUUCCUUCUUCCAUCACAAUUCCGAGCUAUCCUCGACAUGUUAUCAAGAGCAAAAGCGAUAAGCGUCACAGGAGCAGAUCAAAAGGAUCCUUUCAAUUUUCCUUUGAUAGACAGAAUGGAAAACGCGCGGUCGUUCUCCAGAUACCUAUACAUAUACUUAUAUAUAUAUAUAUAUAUAUAAAAAAAUACUAUCGAAUAGUAGAUACAUUCGAGUUGCAAUCUUCGCGUUAACGCUAUUAAAUAAAAAGCUCUAAGAAUU